rnacentral:rRNA from 1 species
CGGGUGAGUAACGCGUGGGUAACCUGCCUCACACAGGGGGAUAACAGUUAGAAAUGACUGCUAAUACCGCAUAACCCGAUAGGAUCGCAUGAUCCAGACGGAAAAGAUUUAUCGGUGUGAGAUGGACCCGCGUCUGAUUAGCUAGUUGGUGAGGUAACGGCCCACCAAGGCAACGAUCAGUAGCCGGCCUGAGAGGUUGAACGGCCACAUUGGGACUGAGACACGGCCCAG